GACAGAGGGUGCAAACGUUGUUCGGAAUUACUGGGCGUAAAGGGCGCGUAGGCGGUCCGAUAAGUCCUGUGUGAAAUCCCUCGGCUCAACUGAGGAACUGCACGGGAGACUGUCGGGCUUGAGUUCGGGAGAGGGAAGCGGAAUUCCGGGUGUAGCGGUGAAAUGCGUAGAUAUCGGGAGGAACACCAAUGGCGAAGGCAGCUCGCUGGGACGGUACUGACGCUGAGACGCGAAAGCGUGGGGAGCAAACAGGG
rnacentral:rRNA from 1 species